rnacentral:lncRNA from 1 species
GCCAAAGCAAGAACAAAGGAAGAAAAGAAAGAACAAAAACCCUAGAGUGAAAAUUCAAGAGAAAAUUGAUGGAUUUCAAGUAAUCAAGCAAUCAAAGGUAAAAUUUCUUGAUUUUGACUUGUGAUCUACCUUUCCCAUACAUUCUUUUGCAUUUUUCAUGUUUGAAUCACAUGAUUUAAUGAUGGGUAUCUUGCUGGCCGAACACUUAGAGAGAGAUUUUGAUGGUUGUUUUGGUUAGAUUUUAAGAUAUUCUAGUGUUUUUAGUUGAUUGGUGAUGUGUAGCCUGAAAAUCAAGUAAGAAAAAUUCAUGUUCGCCCAUCACCCAUCAUUGGCCGAAUUCUCCAUGUGGAAUAUUGAUGAUGAUUUUGAUUUUAUUUCAAGUGAAUUGGUUAGGAAAUGAUGAAUUACGGUGAGAAAAUCAAGUAGGAAAAAUCAUAGUAUUGAUGCACCCACUAUGGCCAAAAUUCCCAAGAGAAAAUGUGAAGAUGAUUUUGCUCAAUUUUAUGCUAUUUGACUUGUGUUUGAUGGUUUGGAGAAUUGGAAGUAAAAUGAAAUUAUUUGGAGUUGAAUUGGACGUAUUGGCCAAUUAAUCAUGUGAUAGAUCAAAUUAGGUCAAUACCGUUUUAUUUAGGUACACAAUUGAAUUUGUGUAGAACACCAUGUUUAGACAAUAAUUUGAACAAUUUGCAUCCCAUUUCAUGCAUUAGUAAAGAGCCUGAAAUAGAUUUAUAAUAGUAUGACACAGUAUAUUGAAUUAUAUGUCGUGUAUUAUAUAUAGGUGGUGAACCCUCUAACAAGGGUAAAGACGUUGUGUCAGAGGACUAAGAAUAAGAGUAUUUCAAACUCCUGAUACAGUGAGUAACCUUAUCAUCAUCUUGAUUAUCUGAAGUGAAUUUUAAUUCAUUUUUGUGAUUUUAUGAAAAAUGAGUUUAAAUGGUAAAUCUUUAUGUUUUAUAAGCAAAAAUGUGAUUAAAUGAAAUGACUUUAUAAAAUUGUCUUGAAAUUGAAAGAUGAUUUUGAAAAUGGAGUAAUUGGAGACUAAUUGUUGUGUUAUAAAUCAUGGUUUGAAUUGAAUGGCUUAUGAUAAUAUUGGCAUGAAUGGUUGAACUGGUAAAUGUGCUAAAAAUGUAUGAACUGUUGAUUUGCCUUGAGAGACUGUAAAAUAAAAUAAUUACCAUGUCAUGCUAUUGCAAAUUUUAUUGUAUGGUGAGUUUAGCUUACUGUAGUGGGCGGGUUCUAUGGACCAACCUUUUUGAGGGGCACGAAAUUCUAUUAUAUUCUUACCUCGAUUAGGGAGGUGCGUAGGGUAACUCCCGAGGUACAACUUUAGAUUUCACUUCACACCAAACCACCAGGUGAGGGUGAACUCAACCAACGCCAAGGAACGGCUAUGUUUUCAAUAUAAAAAUAUGAUUUAUGCGUACCUGACUUUUUAACAGCCUUGGCGGACUCAGUUUGGAUAGCCCCAGGCCAAGGUAUCCUUGAUAACUGAGUAUGAAAAUGAUUUUGGCACGAGCCAAACUUUUCAAGAAAUCAUAAGCCUUGUUGUUUAUUUGGGUGAAAUGAAUCUAUUUUAUCUUAUUAAAAUGAGUUCGAAAUGAUGUGAAUCAUUUUUAUACUAAUCUAUUUUAUCUGUCUCCAUUUACUCGGCUUUAGAUAUUUUAGAUGAUAUUUGUCUACUCAUUAGGAUUAUAUAAUCUCACCACCUUCCUUUCCACCCAUUUCAGGCUCAGGAUAGUCUGUAGAUAGCUCAUUUCGUUGAGGGCUACAGUUGGACUUGCAUCCUCAAAAACUGUAGGUUUAUCGCUUUUGAUACUUUUGGUCGUUCAUAGGCCCAUGUGUCACUGUAAAUUAAAUCUUAUGCUUUGGUUAUCUGUAUUAUAGUAUGUAUGAAUUUAUUUAAUUUUUACGCUACAAAAAUUAUUUAUUGGUAACUCUAUAAAUAUUGUUUUAUAAGAAAAUAGAAUAUUUUAUUGAAUAUUUUUAUUAUAUUCAAAUAAGUAUAGUUUCACUUUAAAUGAAUGUUUUAGAUAUCUAAACUUAUUUUUGGUUAUGAAAUAUAUAAAUUUCUCUCAUAUUCUACAUUUUUAGCUGGUUUCGAGAUUUUUGAGAAAAAAUGACCAAAAUACCCUUGUGAGAAAAAAAUUAUUUUUCUAUUGUUUUGAUUUGAAAAUAAUUUAUAAUCUCUCAAAACAUGAUACUUAACAACUGUUGCUCACAAGGGAGGUGCGAAAACUGAUAUUAAAGCAUUGCGAGGUUUCGGUUGGCAUUUCAUGCAAUGAAUGUCUAUCGGGACGUCGCGGCGGUUGUCACGGGCUCAAAAAAAGUAUCGGGUUGUGACAAUUAUAGUGGUAUCAGAGCUUUUGAUUUUAAAGAUCAGAGCUUUUGGGUUUAAAAUUGUUUUAAAGUUAAUUUAAAAAUUUACAGUUUCAGUGUGGCCCCAAGUUAAGUUAAGUUAAGUUAAGUCAGGUUAGGUUGAAUAGAAUGCAUGCACCUACAUAAAGAAACCUACCUGCUCUUGUGAUGCGUAAAUAAUUAAGAAAUUACUGCUUGAUUGCGUAUAGGUUUUGAGGUGUGCUGAUUGCACACACCAUGUCUAGGAGAGACGGUAAUCUCGAUACCUCUCAUAGUAUUAGCGAGGGAUCGCUAGAUUCUACUGCUAGGAGCCGAUGGCAACUCAAACCAAGUAGUCCAGAAAGUGCUGAUAGUAAUGACAUGUAAUAUUUUUGUGGGAUUUUGUACUACUUUGACUCUAGGUAGAUGUAGUGUAAAAGAGAUAAUAGUUAUAUAUACAAAGAAGUUAAUAGUUUGGCUUUUAAAAGUGUAUGACUAGAAUGUAUUAUAAGUAGCUAUUUAAGUGACUGGAUGUAUAUGGGAAUCUUUUGGUAGGACAAAAGUGGAUUAGCAUUAUGACUAUUAAGGAAAGAUAUUUAUCUUAGUGGCAUGGUUGAUCAUCUUAGAUAAUUAUUGAAGACUUAUGUGGAAAGUCAUUAAUGAUUCAAGCAAUUACCCUAAUUAACAAUGAAUAUAUUUUGCAGUACUAAGAAAUGGAUACCGAUUAACAUGAUGAACUUUUAGGGUGAUACCCUAGAUUUUGACGAGGUAUAAAAGACCAUUUGAAUUGAUGAUGUUUGUUGAAAAUUAUUACUUAUCAAAGUAUGUGAGUUUUGAUAUGAUUUCGAAUGCAAAGCUAAAUAAAUAAAUUCUGGUUUAUGGGACAAAUUGUGUCAGAGAAGAUGAUUUUUGAGCAAACACAUUGAACUAGGGGACUAUGUUAUAAUAAGGGAUUCAGUGUGUUGUAAUUGCACAGAUUAUUGGGAGACAGUGUCGUAAGACUAACAAUUAAUCAUGGAGAUGUGAAAUUGGGAAUCUUAACUGUGGUUACAAUUCGAAAGGAUAUGGAAGAAAUCAAUGAGGCUCUAGAUGACAUUUUGAGCGAUUAAUGUGAUAAAGUCAAAGAUUGUAAGCUUAAGGGUGGAGGAAGUAUAAAAUGAUGCCAUAACAUUAUAGGAAGAUAAUCUAAUACAAAUAUGGUCCAUUAGGGAUAAAUGAAGGAACUUGAAAAAGAUAAAUUUUUUAUUAAUAAGGAUUGUGAGUAUAAAUGUAGUGAAAGAUGAACUAUUUUCGUGGCCUUUGUACUGGAAGUCAAUAAACUAUUGGAGUUAUAAGACAAGGAAGAUGAUCAGAAAUGGAUAAUGAAAAUAGUGGGAUACCAUAAAUAAUAAGUAAUUAUGUGUAUGAUGAUGUAUAUAUUGUGCAUUCAUUACACCAUAUGGGAAAGAUGUCUUAAGGUGGGACUUGAAAUAUGUGGAUUUUUGGAUAUGCUCUAGGAGGGAACUUCUGCAUCUUAAAUUUGAGAUAUCUUGAUCUUAUAACUGCAAGAACGAGACGUAAUAAUUAAGUGAAUUAUCCACUUUAUAAAUGUAAUUGGUUAAGAACCCUUUAUGGCUAGAAAGCACGAGCAAAUUGGGAAUGGCAUGAAGAUGAAACUCACGAGUUGAAGAAUGGUCAUUGGUUUUGAUGUUAAGCUUUGUUGGUUGGAGCCUUAAGUGCAUUGGGGAGGUAUUAAGAUAAAGAUGAUAAGUGAAAUUACAAAGUUUCUUUAUUGCCUUAUAUAUUGGCAUGUAAGAGAAAGAAAAGUUAGAGAGUUUUUGAGAUGGCUACAUAAAAAUAAAUUAACAUGUGGAGUAUUAAGAUGAAUAAUAUGUUGACUGAAGUCAAAUCUUAAGAAAUAAAGAAGACAAGAGAUUAAGCCUUGUUAAAGACAAAAAAGAAAGUGAGUGAAAGGUUAGAUGAAUGUAUGAGAUAUUGAUAAGAGAUGUCAAUACCAAGUGAUGAAAAUGUGAAUGAAGAUUUCAAACAUGAUAUAGCGAAUGAGUUUAUAUAGAAUAUUGUUACGAAAAUUUACAAAUCUUGCCUUGACUUUGUUGAAAGGAAAGGAUUAGUAACAACACAAGUAAACUAGGUGACAUGCUAGAAACCCUUGGAGAUAAAUUGAAGCAUGAGUAGUUGGGUAUGCCUUUAUGGAAAUGAUAUGCUCAGAGUAUGAAAAAGUAAAUAAGUGAUUAAGUGUUUCAAGAAUGUUUAAACAACUUUGAGAAAUAAUUAUAAAUUAUACGAGAUGAGUAUAAGAUGUGUGAUUUUGAAACUUGCUAAGGAGCCAAAUGGCUAAGUCUUGAGUUAAGUGAUCACCUACUGUGAUACAUAAGUUUAAGAUAGAUAUCCCUAGGGAAAUACUCAAGAGAAGUUCUGCCGUGGAUCUCGUGAAAGCAAGCACUUAGUUAUGUGGUUAUAAAAAAGGAAGCUGUAAGUUGAGAGUGAUAUUAGUAUUAAUAUUGAAAAGUACUUGAGGAGAAUCUAGUUCAAGUCUUCUAAUUUCAAGUACAAUUUGUAAAUUGGUUAAGGAAGAAUUAUGUUAUAUUCGUAUGAAAGAGUGGAACAAAGGAUGAUAGAAGUUGACCUUGAUAAUGAAGUCAGAUAAUGAAACUUUCCUAAUAUAUUAUGGAAAUUGGAAUUCAAAAAUGCUUGAGGCAUACAUGAUUCAAAUGAGUCUGAGUUUUAAGUGACAAAUCAAUAUCGGAAUGCAAGAAGGAUACAAGGUAAUGUAGAGGCAUGAAGGAUAAUCGAGGAAAAAGGAUGACUCUUAGGAAUUGUGGUAUUACAUAAGAUGCAAUGAUCAAGUUAAGAUAAAUCUUUGAGGCAUCAAUGGGAUUAUAAAACAUACACGCAUGAUAGAUUAUAAUUCAAUGGAGAUGACAUUGUGAUGCAAUGAUAUAUAGUACAAGGAAACUUAAGCAUAUAAUUGGAAAUGAUAAGAAGAGAGUAUAAGUAUGUAAAUGAUGUGAAACUAUGCACAGGCAUGAUGAGAAUUUGUAUGAAUUAUGAAGAUUAUCCUAUUCAAUCUUGGUUAUGGAUGGGAAUGAACAAGGAGAAAUUAGUCUGAAGGCAUUUGAAAAUAGAGACCCGUAUACAUAAUGAGGAAUAUGGACAUUUGAAUGUGCGUGUAUACGUAUGUGUGGAGUUAGUGAUGUACCCAACUAAAAUAAAGAAUGGUUUUAGUGGUUCGAGAUUUGAACUCAAUCUAUUUGAUGAGCUGUAUAGAUAAUGUAACGAUCAAGAAUCUUAUCAGAAGUCGAUUUAUGGCGACCUAAGGAAUUUUUGAGAAAUAGUUAAGGGAAUGUAAUCUAUAGUGCGAUUAAGCCAUAUGAGAUGGAUUAAUAGGAUUAAGAAGAUUGAAAUUUCCUAAAUGCAAGGUAAACAUGAAGUAUGUGAAAAUAAUUGAAGCCAUUAAUCUUCCCUAACGCUAAGGAUAUGUACAAGAAUGAGUAUGGCAUUUUAAUGAUGCCGUAAACUACACAAUAGUGUAUGAGGAUAGGAUGAAUGAAUGAAAGUCGAAAAAUUUGAUAUGGAAUGAAGUAAUAAGAUAGUGAUUGGUAUACCUAAAUAAGUAUAAAAUACGAUCGAAUUUGGUACGAUUCAGAUGGAGUUAUGGUUCAAGUUUAAUGAUAGUAAUAAAAGCAUGCUUGGUGUCUCGAUAUAAGAGAUCAUAAUUGUGAAGGUUACUAUUGAUCUGAUUUUAAAAGAUAAUAAUACGCAUAAGUGAAGUACUCGAGUUGAAUUGGAGGUAAAUGAGGUGAACAAAUCGAAAUUCCCUAUAAAGGGGAGGACAUAAGAAGUCGAGCAUUAGAUGAGAAAACAAUACCCUCACAUUUUCUUUGAAUUCAGUAAAUGAAAUUUUGAGGUCAAAAUUUUAUUUUAAGGGGAGUAGUGCUGUCAAGCCCGACUCUACAAUAUGUUUAUUAUGCCAUUCUUACAUAAGAAUGCAUGUUUGAUUACUUGGGUACCUCAGAAAUCGUUAAAGGACGACAAUGUAACAAAUGGUACAAUUAAGUUGAAUUAAGCCUCAAACUAGUCCAAAUAGAGAUUUUAAGAUAAAAUUGAGAAUUUUAAAACCCCAAAUGAAUUAAAAUGGUGAUUCGGAGUUCGAGGACCGAUUUGGAGUCAAAUUAGAAUUUUCAUGACCUAAGGGUAAAAUGGUCAUUUUGCCACCCGAGGUUAAGAUGUGAGUGUUGGAUGGAAAUUUUUGACUAAGAUUGAUCAUUUGGAGUAUAAUUUGAGUUUGAGAAGUGAAGAAUUUUAAUUUCGACAUUUUUUCAAGCAUAGGGGUAAAAUAGUCAUUUUGCCAUCCUAAAGUCCAAAAUUGUUAUUUUACACACCCAACACUUGUCCAGCACAUGAAUUUUACCCAAUAUUAUCAUGGAUAAUUGAAGGAUUUUAUGUGGUGGAGAAAGAAAGCUUAAUAGUUAAGAAUUUAAAAAUGGACCAAUGGUAAGGUGACAAGUGUCAAGCUUUUAUUUUUUUAUCAUUUUCCUUAUAAAUUAGCACAAAACUAGCUCAUUUCUCUUCAUUAUGGCUGGCCAAAGCAAGAACAAAGGAAGAAAAGAAAGAACAAAAACCCUAGAGUGAAAAUUCAAGAGAAAAUUGGUGGAUUUCAAGUAAUCAAGCAAUUAAAGGUAAAAUUUCUUGAUUUUGACUUGUGAUCUACCUUUCCCAUACAUUCUUUUGCAUUUUCCAUGGUUGAAUCACAUGAUUUCAUUAUGGGUAUCUUGCUAGCCGAACACUUAGAGAGAGAUUUUGAUGAUUGUUUUAGUUAGAUUUUAAGAUAUUCUAGUGUUUUUAGUUGAUUGGUAAUGUGUAGCGUGAAAAUCAAGCAAGAAAAAUUCAUGUUCUCCCAUCACCCAUCAUUGGUCGAAUUCUCCAUGUAGAAUAUUGAUGAUGAUUUUGAUUUUAUUUCAAGUGAAUUGGUUAAGAAAUAAUGAAUUACGGUGAGAAAAUCAAGUAGAAAAAAUCAUAGUAUUGAUGCACCCACUAUGGCCGAAAUUCCCAAGAGAAAAUGUGAAGAUGAUUUUGCUAAAUUUUAUGCUAUUUGACUUGUGUUUGAUGGUUUGGAGAAUUGGAAGAAAAAUGGAAUUAUUGGAGUUGAAUUGGACGUAUUGGCCAAUUAAUCGGGUGAUAGAUCGAAUUAGGCCAAAACCAUUUUAUUUAGGUACACAAUUGAAUUUAUGUAGAACACCGUGUUUAGACGAUAAUCCGAACAAUUUGCAUCCCAUUUCAUGCAUUAGUAAAGAGCCUGAAAUAGAUUUAUAAUGGUAAGACACAGUAUAUUGAAUUAUGUGUCGUGUAUUGUGUGAGACCUUGUCAAGUUCGAUUAAAAGACGGUAUUGUACCGAGUGAUACAACUAAGUUAAAUCGAGCCUUGAACUAGUUCAAAUAGAAAUUCUAAAAGGAAAUUGAAAAUUUUGAAACCCACAAAAUGGCUUAGAAUAGUGAUUCGGAGUUCAAGGUCUAGUUUGGAGUCCAUUAGGAAAAUUGAUCGAUUAGGGACAAAACGAUCAUUUUACCAUUUGAUGAUAAAAUAGAGAUUUCUAGUCAAGAUUUGAUCACAUUUGAUCAAGAAUAAUUAUAUGACAUAUAAUUAUCAUUAUUGGAGUAUAAAACAAUGUUUAGCAGUGAAAAUUUAUGAUUUUCGGUAUUUUUGGAGCACAAAGGCAAAAUGGUAAUUUUGCCAUUAGAGGACUAAACGGGAAUUUUUAUAAAACAAUUUUUACCCCAUUUGGUUAAUAUUGAUCAAUAUUAGUGUUAUUUGAGGUUGAAAAGUAGAAAUAAUGUGAUUCCAAUACAUUUCGGCGUAUAGGGGUAAAAUCAUAAUUUUUCCACUUCAAGGGCAAAUCGGUAAAUUUUUCACCCCAGCACUUGUCAAGACCAAGGGAUUUUAAUUGUGGUAGGAUUGGACAAGUACCAGAAUAUUUGUGGUGGAAAAUUAAGAAGAAAAAGUCAAAAAGUUAAAAAAAAAAUUGGGCCAAUAAGCAUGUGACACGUGGCAUGCUUGAUUAUUUUAUUAUUUUUUAUAGAAAUCAGCCCAUUAAAUCCCCAAUUCUCUGACCAUAUUCAGCCUAGAAAGGGAAAAACAAGAAAACCUAGGUGAAAAUUCAAAGAAAAAGUGAAGAAAUCAAGGAAACAAGUUAGGUAAGUUAGAAUUUCUUUAAUUCUCCUUGAUACCUAGCUUACCCAUGCUUUUGUUCUUGAUUUCCAUGGUUGAAUAUUGAGUUAUUAUGAUGAAUUCAAUUCUGAAAAAUGGGUAUGGAAGAGGAAUUGUUGUUGGAAUAAUUUGAUUUUAGACUAUGUUAGUGUUUAGGGAUAGUUAAGCAUGGUUAUGAACAAAAACAUAAAAGAAAUAUUCAAUUUCUCUAGGGUUCCUUGUUGGUCGAACCAUGAGGGCUGAAUAUCAAUGGGGGAUUGUUUUUAUUUCAAGGAAAAUGGCUUGGAAAAAGAUGAAUUAAGGUGAAACGGUUAUGUAGAAAAACUUUCAGUGCUAGUGCACCAAAUGACCGAAUUUUUCUAUAAGGAACUGUGAGGGUUCUAUUGCUGAAUUUGGCUUUAUUUAAAUGGUAUGUGGUAAAUUAAGGUAUUAGAGGAGAAAUGGAUUAAUUUGGAGGUGAUUUGGACACAAUCGCCAAUUAAUCGAGUGAUUUGUCGAAUUUAAUCGAUACUGCGAUUAAGUGGUAAUCGAACGUAUUUUUGCAUUUACAUAUCAAGCAUUAGUAAUUUAAAUUAGUUUAUAUCAAUUUAGGGACAAUAUAGUAAAUUCCUCGACUUUGUUAUUUGUCAAGGUAGUGAGACGUUCGGAAAAGGCAAAGGAAUUGUUCCUGAGGACUAUUAGUCCAAGUGCACCCGAAAUCCAGAUUUUCGAUACCGGUGAGUGGACUUGCAUUUCAAAUUUGUUUUGGGGAAUAUGAAAGAUUCUAUCCAACUUGUCUUAGAAAAUGUACCUUGGGAACAAGCUUUUAGUAAAAUGGUUUUAUAUUAUGAAAAUGUGCUAUACAAUGGUUUAUGUGUUAUCACAAAAUGAUAAAAUGCAUGAUAUGCAUUGGAUGAUGCUUCUUUGCAUGUUGAUUUAGACCUGGCUAUGUGCGAGUAGGAGUGCACAUAAGUCGUUACUGACUCGGCUAUGUGCGAGUAGGAGUGCACAUAAGUCGUUGCUGACCCGGCUCUGUGUGAGUGGGAGUGCACAUAAGCCGUUGCUGACCUGGCUAUAUGCGCAUAAGUCGUUGCAUAUGAGAUGAUGAUGAUGGGAUGGUGUGCAUGUUGAUGAUGGGUAUAUGGUUGUAAAUGCAAAUAUGUAAGCUUUUGUUUUGUUGAAAUUUGGAAGUUUACAUGUGUUACAUGUUGCUAUUGUUAUUUUAGCAUGAUGGCUUGUUUUAAGGGAAAAAGGGUUUGGAAUAGUAGUUAGAUGAAAAUGGCCUUAUUUUCAACCGGUGCAUCAUGAUUGUCAAAUUUCCUAGUUGAGAUUGCUUGUUCCCUUCUAAUAUUCACUCACUGAGUAUUGUACUCACGUUUUAUAAAAAUUCAUGUUUUCAGAUCAGGUGACUGUUGGACCCUAGAUCGAGGAGUCCCCGUAGUGCAUCUCCUAGGUAUGUGUCUGGCAUUCGAUAGUAAUCCCUUUUAUUGUAAAUGUCUCCGCUAGAAGUCAUGGGUCCUUUUGUAUUGUGAAUACAAUCUAACAAUGUGAAUAUGUGUAUGCAAUGUAAAUUGCUAAAUACAUUACUAGUAUAGUGCAUGUAUAUUAUUAUCGAUAAUGCCAUUGUGUUUUGGCUAUGUUCACACCCGAGAAAAGGUGUGUGUGUAUGCAUGAUAUGAUAAAUUUGUUAAGCAAAGGUAAAUGGAUUGGCUUGCUUGGGCUUAGUGAGCUAUGCUCAUUGAGCUCAUGCGUCGGUCAUGGCCCGGGAAUUUGGGUCGUAACAUAUUGUAUAUAGGUGGUGAGCCCUCUAACAAAGGUAAAGACGUUGUGUCAGAGGACUGAGAAUAGGAGUAUUUCAAACUCCUGAUACAGUGAGUAACCUUAUCAUCAUCUUGAUUAUCUGAAGUGAAUUUUAAUUCAUUUUUGUGAUUUUAUGGAAAAUGAGUUUAAAUGGUAAAUCUUUAUGUUUUAUAAGCAAAAAUGUGAUUAAAUGAAAUGACUUUAUAAAAUUGUCUUGAAAUUGAAAUAUGGUUUUGAAAAUGGAGUAAUUGGAGACUAAUUGUUGUGUUAUAAAUCAUGGUUUGAAUUGAAUGGCUUAUGAUAAUAUUGGCAUGAAUGGUUGAAUUGGUAAAUGUGCUGAAAAUGUAUGAACUGUUGAUUUGCCUUGAGAGGCUGUAAAAUAAAAUAAUUGCCAUGUCAUGCUAUUGCAAAUUUUAUUGUAUGGUGGGUUUAGCUUACUGCAGUGAGCGGGUUCUAUGGACCAGCCUUUUUGAGAGGCACGAAAUCUUGUUAUAUUCUUACCUCGAUUGGGGAGGCGCGUAGGUUAACUCCCGAGGUACAACUUUAGAGUUCACUUCACACCAAACCACCACGUGAGGGUGAACUCAGCCAACGCCAAAGAACGGCUAUGUUUUCAAAAUAAAAACAUGAUUUAUGCGUACCUGACUUUUUAACAGCCUUGGCAGACUCAGUUGGGAUAGCUCCAGGCCAAGGUAUCCUUGAUAACUGAGUAUGAGAAUGAUUUUGGCACGAGCCAAGCUUUUCAAGAAAUCAUAAGCCUUGUUGUUUAUUUGGGUGAAAUGAAUCUAUUUUAUCUUAUUAAAAUGAGUUCGAAAUGCUAUGAAUCUUUUUUAUGCUAAUCUAUUUUGUCUGUCUCCAUUUACUUGGUUUUAAAUAUUUUAGAUGAUAUUUGUUUACUCACUGGGAUUAUAUAAUCUCACCACCCUCUUUUCCACCCCUUUCAGGCUCAAGAUUGUCGGUAGAUAGCUCAUUUCGUUGAGGGCUACAGUUGGACUUGCAUCCUCAAAAACUGUAGGUUUAUCGCUUUUGAUACUUUUGGACGUUCGUGGCCCCACGUGUUUCUGUAAAUUAAAUCUUAUGCUUUGGUUAUCUGUAUUACAGUAUGUAUGAAUUUAU